rnacentral:rRNA from 1 species
GAUGAACGCUGACAGAAUGCUUAACACAUGCAAGUCAACUUGAAUUUGGGUUUUUAACUUAGAUUUGGGUGGCGGACGGGUGAGUAACGCGUAAAGAACUUGCCUCACAGCUAGGGACAACAUUUAGAAAUGAAUGCUAAUACCUGAUAUUAUGAUUUUAAGGCAUCUUAGAAUUAUGAAAGCUAUAAGCACUGUGAGAGAGCUUUGCGUCCCAUUAGCUAGUUGGAGAGGUAACAGCUCACCAAGGCGAUGAUGGGUAGCCGGCCUGAGAGGGUGAACGGCCACAAGGGGACUGAGACACGGCCCUUACUCCUACGGGAGGCAGCAGUGGGGAAUAUUGGACAAUGGACCGAGAGUCUGAUCCAGCAAUUCUGUGUGCACGAUGAAGUUUUUCGGAAUGUAAAGUGCUUUCAGUUGGGAAGAAAAAAAUGACGGUACCAACAGAAGAAGUGACGGCUAAAUACGUGCCAGCAGCCGCGGUAAUACGUAUGUCACAAGCGUUAUCCGGAUUUAUUGGGCGUAAAGCGCGUCUAGGUGGUUAUAUAAGUCUGAUGUGAAAAUGCAGGGCUCAACUCUGUAUUGCGUUGGAAACUGUGUAACUAGAGUACUGGAGAGGUAAGCGGAACUACAAGUGUAGAGGUGAAAUUCGUAGAUAUUUGUAGGAAUGCCGAUGGGGAAGCCAGCUUACUGGACAGAUACUGACGCUGAAGCGCGAAAGCGUGGGUAGCAAACAGG